ACAUCAUGGAGCUGACACCACCUUGCUUUACUGCACGAAUGAUAUUGGGCAGGUCAUGAACAGUGCUUGGUUUCCUCCAGAUAUGACUCUUAGAAAUGAGGCCAGAAAGUUCAAUCUUGGUUUCAUCAGACCAGAGAAUCUUGUUACUC